AUGGGCAGAGACUGAAAGCAACCGCGGCUGCCCGGAGGUCCGAACUGGAGGGUGGCCGCAGCCGUGACUUCCUUGGGAACCGCGCUGCCUCGACUCGGCUACCUCUCUGCGAAGCACUCGCUAAGCCGGGCAGCCCCGGGGUCGCUUAGCGGCCCAGGAGGCGCCAGCGAUCCUGUUCCCCUGCAGAGCUAUGGGGACCGGAAGGCGAAACAGAGCUGUCGACGCGGGAGCAUACGCUGCCCACCAGUGGAGCGCAGGUCAUCAAAGCCGAAUCCGAAUUUGAAUUCUGUGCGGCUGAUUGCAGAGCUGUCUUGAGGCCCUGAGGACUGGGAUCUGCGACCCCCAGUGGACAAAAGUCGACUCUACCCCAGAGGCUAAUUUUCUCAAGGCAGGCACCUGUUGAGAGGCUGCAAGUAAAAUACAGGGGAACGCUAGUUUCCGAGCUCAUGAGUGCACACAUGCUUCUGUCUUCACAUAUGCACAGCUGAAAGUGAGAUGAUUUCUCUACUCCACAGUUGGGAAGGGGGAUUAGACAACAGAGAAGAUGGAGAAGACAAAAGGGCUUGUGGAAAACUGCAAGUCAACAUUUCUUUGGUAAGGCAGUUACCACACAUGAGCACUGGCUGCCAAGCAAAGACUAUGGUUCACUGAAGAGAACCUGACAGGAGUAGCCACCCCUCUGUUUCAGGCAGUAAUUGCCAUGUGAGACUGUGAUGGUUGUCCAGAUCUUCUGAUUAUUCAAGUAAAGCUGGAAAUUUAGAUUUGUAUUUGAUCCCUCACAUCUUUAAAUGCAGGCAACUAAUUAAAAUUAAAAGAAAACCUUCUGUCCAACAUUUUGCAAUCUCCAAAUUAUUGAAAUUUUUGAAAAGCAGCUGAUGUGUUUUUACGUCAAAGGUAAUUCUUACCAUUUUUACUUUUUCACAAUGGAAAUAGAUUUUUUCUGAUUAUAAAAACACACGUUCAUUUUUAAACUUACCUGUAUUCACACUACCCCAAGAAACCAUUUUUAAACUUUUGAUGUUUUUCCUUGUUGUUUUUCUACUUACUGGGAGGAUGCCAUAUGCACAUCCCAAUAGACAGAAAAUUUCACAUUUUUAAUGUGAAAAUUUUACAAUAGUUGUUUACUCACAUUAGUAGUUAUGCAUCUACAUUAUUAUUUUUAAUAGCUACAUGGUAUUCCAUUGUGUGGUUGACACAUUAUUAAUCCAAUUCUCUAUUGAUGGAUAUUUAGGUGUUUAUAAUUUUUCAUUAUUACAAACAAUACUGGAAUACACAUUCAUAACCACUUUUAAAAACAUGUUCACUAUAUAAGAUGGAGGGAGAAAUUUUAUCAUAGAAGUUUUGUUUUUCAGAGUAGGAAAACCUGGGAUUCAGUACUAGGAUCCAUCUUAGUUCAUACUUUUAUAAAAGGCGUGGAAGACAGAGAACAUACCAAUUUUGCAGUAGAUUUAUUCAAGUAAACUAUGACAAGUCAGCAGUGAAAAAUUGCAGAAACAAGCAAUGAGUGGUCAAGAAAGUGUAAGAUGAACCUCAAUGUGGAAAAGUAUAGUAAUACAUUUAGAGAAACACAUGCCAAACUAUAUAAAGAGUAUUAUCAGAUUAUUACAUAGCACUGCUUGCUGCCACACCAGAGAAAUGAUUCUGUCUCGAUGGGUCAAUUCUUAGAUCAUUUAAUUAUCUGUCAUCGAAAAUGUAGCAAACUUGACAGCAGUAAUAUAUACUAUAAACGUGCAAUAGCAAGAGCAUUGAGCGCUGAACUAGAAAUCACAUCUGAAUUUAGACUGAGCUCAGCUGCUUACUGUGAUUUUGAGAAAAUUGAUUAGCCCCUCUGUGUCUCAGUUUUCAUAUCUGUUUAAUACUUUAUUGUCAUGGUGAUUAUGAAGACCCAAUAAACUAUACAUAAAUUUGUUUGCUUAAA
ensembl:lncRNA TMSB15B-AS1 TMSB15B antisense RNA 1